UACGUAGGGUGCAAGCGUUACUCGGAAUUACUGGGCGUAAAGCGUGCGCAGGCGGUUAUGUAAGACAGAUGUGAAAUGCCCGGGCUUAACCUGGGAACUGCAUUUGUGACUGCAUGGCUAGAGUUUGGCAGAGGGGGGUAGAAUUCCACGUGUAGCAGUGAAAUGCGUAGAUAUGUGGAGGAACACCGAUGGCGAAGGCAGGUCUCUGGGCAUUAACUGACGCUGAGGAGCGAAAGCGUGGGUAGCAAACAGG
rnacentral:rRNA from 1 species